UGGCUGGAAGCAAAGAGCAAAGAAAGAAGAAGAAUGGCAGCAGCAUGGGUGGUGUGGAGGGGAAGAAGAUGAUGAAGAGUGGAAGUGGGGUUAAAAAAAUGGUAAAAAAUGAUGUGUGUAUAGUUGGGCACCUUUAGGGAUUUAACGUUUGAGUGACAAAUGGAAAAAAUUCUCUAAUGACAAUGAUCAACUUGCAAGUAUUUUUAUUUGAAUAACCAAAAUGAAAGUGCUCAAAAAGUUGGUGAUCAACUAAGUAGUUUACCCUACUUUUUAUUUGUUAUAAAUAUUCUUGAAUGACAGUAUAAGCUUUGUAACACCCCAAACUCAACCUGAACAUUCAGACCAAGUCCGAAGAGUUAUAUUGACAUUACUAGAGAAACCCAUUUUUAUAACACAAUCAAAGAAACCAUUCGACAAAUUAUAAUGGCUGUAAAGGUUAGCCAAUAGCCCAAUAACCUUAAAGUCAUAUUACUAGAGAAUGCUAUAAUUACUGAUAAUAAUAAUAAAGGGUGAUAAAGCGAGUUGAUUGAGCUCCCGCCAUUCUGACCAGAUCAAGACUGCGAGUUACCUGAAAUUCAGUCAAUAACAAAAUGAGUUGAAAACUUAGCAUAUAAUCGUAAUAGGUUCAUCUAAAAGCACAAUCACAAUAGUAAAUUGUUGAAUCUCAUAUGUCAAUUAGAAUCAGAGGAUAGUCAGUGCAAAUUCAAUGUAUCAGUUAUGCAUUAGAACAAUUCCGGUUCAUAUACGAUACAAAUUAGGAACAGAUGCAAUUAUUCCUACCCCCACAGCUACACACCAUUUUCGAUCGUCCAAACACACCAUUAAAGGCAUUUAAUACCCAUCAAACUCUACAUAUCGGAAGUGUCAAUCUGACACGUUUAAUGAGGUGCAGACUAGCUGUCAGAUCAAAAUGUGAUAAAAUACCAAAUUCACGUAUAAUCGUGGCUUUAGCCAUCGAAUCAGAACAGAUCACUUCCUCCUUUACAAAAUUCCCAUCCCAUGCAAUGCAAGUUACAGAUAUCAAGAACAUAUGCUCAGUUAUUCAGACUCAAUUCAUAAUUAAGUGAUACAGAUCAAUAUCAUUGACAAUCUUCACAAUACGCAUACAUAUAUAAUCAACACCUCUGUCUCAAAACAUCAAAUAACACUCAUACAAUCUAAUUCAGAUCAUAAAUACAUUGUGGAAGGCCAAUGUUCGUGUUAGACAGCGCUUACGGCCUCAGAGACAAGAUUUAGAGUUUUCUCCACAGACCACACAGCCUGACACUUGCUCGUGUGCCCACUCGUGCGUCUUACACGAAUCGACACACGCCAGUGUGCCCACUCGUGUGUCUCACACGGCUCGGUACAUGCCUGUGUCAUCUUCUCAUGUGGUCCUAAGUCGUAAAUAAUGAGUCACACUACUUGAACACGCCUGUGUCUCUAGUUCAUGUGGUAUCCAAAAACGAUAGUAGGUUACACGACCUGGGCACACGCCUUUGUCCCUAACUCGUGUGUUCAUUAUGUUGUACUCAGUGAGUAACAUGGCCUAGACACACGCCCAUGUCUUUGGCUCGUGUGAACUCUGCACUAACAUGACUACACAUGGCCUGGACACACACCCGUGUCCCUUGCCCGUGUGGCUCAUAUUUGGUGAACAGUGUGUUACAUGACCGAACACACGGCCUGUCACACGCCGUGUGGCAUCGACAUUCAUAUUUUUUGACAUUUGAAAUUCACAAAAACUUAGGUUUUUGGUACGCACUUGAAGUGGUUUUGUAGUAGGAACAACGUAAAGGAUCUCCGAAGCCUAAAACGAUCAUCCAAUAACUCAAUCAACCAAAUUUAUUGACAAUAAUGCACAAUUAGAUGUAGAACACUUAUGUCGAAAGUUUUGACACAACCUUCAACGAAUUCAACACUUACCGAAAGAUCAACAACAAUUACUCGAAUUGACUUGCCGAGAUUCGCUACUUCCAACACCUACUUCUAAAAUAAGGAAACCAAAAAAAUUUAACUAAGAGAAUUGAUCUAUUAGCGCAAAACUAUCUCAACGACACGAACUCGUCGUUUCUUAGAACUUCUAACAGAAUUACACAGUUAACUUUCAGUUGAUAUCACAGAAACGUACUUACUCGACCCGAACAUCAGAUCAGAAGAAGAAGUCCAGCAAUCGAUAACAGAAACGCCCAAGAGAUAUAAAAAAAAUGAAGAAGAUAAAGAAAAAGAAAGAACUUAGAGUAGUAAAGAAGAAGAACGUUUUAAAAUUUGUUUUAACCUCCAAUAAGUUUUCCGACAGUUAGCAAAAAUAUUUCUUAAUGUAUACGCUAAAACCCGAACACAGAGCUAAACAGAAUACAGAAGCUUAACCAUUGAACCAACAUGGUCAUUCUUGUCAUAGAGUUACACAGAGUUAAAUUUAAGUUAACGAUUUAAGAGCAAUGAUUGAUAGUUAACUAGCAAAACUUCUAAAAUACGACUUGAAUUCCUGACCACGAACACAUAAGCAAAACAUUUAACCAUAGAUACAGAAACUUAAUUAUUGUAAAAUCUUACAAAUAAACAUUCAAAAUUUGGGGUGUUACAAAUUUAUAUAUAUAUUUGGAGGAUGAAUAUGAAAGAGUAUGAUUAUUUGAAUAUAAAUUUUUAAUAUAAAUUUUUUUAUAACAUAUAAAUAUCACAUAAAUAUAUGUUUUUGAUAUUUAAGUAUAAAAAAAUAUUUAAUAAUGAUAUUUUUUAAAAUAAGAUUUUUAAAUAAUAAUGUAAUUUAAUAAUUUUUAAAUAAUAUUUUGUUUGAUAAAAAAAAGUUUUAAAUGUCUAUAAUCUGUAUAAAAGUAGUUUUGAGAAUUUUUUGUACAUAUCAAUAUAGCUUUUAUUCCUCGUUAUAUUAGUAAAUACCUUUUCUCAUAUUAGAUUCUGAUCAUAUCUGUUUUUUUUAUAUAAUACCUAGAAUUAUUCAUAGUCCCUCGUCAACUCUUAGAUAGGAGGAUAAUGUGGUUCUACGUAGUUGAACCCACGUCCUCCUACAUUGGUAACAAUAUUGAUGCCAAUCCAGCUAAAAAUCAAUUGACUAGUAAAUAUCAUUUUUAAAUAUACUUUUUUUUUGUUUUUCUAAGAUUUAUCACAUUUAUAAAUAAUAAUUUUAUUUUUACUAAAAUAAUUGGUUAAAAAGAUUACUUGAUAAAAAGAUUUAUGUACUUAUAAAUAAAAAUUAUGAUUAAUUUUAUUAAAUGAAUUUAUAUAAUAAAUAAUAAAUUUGAUAUUAAAUUACUUUGUAUUUAAAUUAUCAUGUUUCAAUUGACUGAAAAUUUUAAAGGAAAAAAAUGAUAUUACUUUAGUUUUAAAUUGCAAGUUUUAGUUAUUUAUUUAUUAAUUUUAUAUUUCAUAUAUAAAUUUUUAUGGUUAAAGUGUAAAUUUACCAUCAUAGGUGAUGAAUAUUAAAAUUUGUCGCUAUACUUUACUUUCGUGGAUAUUUACCAUUAUAUUUUAAAAACAUGAGUAAAUUUUUUAUUCAAACUCUAAUGUGAUUUAAUUUUAUUACUAAGCUUUAAAUUUUAUUAAAUUUUGAAACAAUUUUAUUUUUUAAAUUAAAUUUUAUCACUUUAAAACAUAUUAAUUUUAAUGAUUUGUAAAAACAAUUAAUAAAAAAAUUAUAUCAAAUAUUUUAUUAGAAUAGUUAACAAUAAUUUAACUUAUAAAUAUUAAAAAUUAAUAAAUUAAAUUACAAUUUCUAGUUAAUGAAAUAAUCUUGAAAAAUAAAAAUACAUAUAUCAUAAAAGAAAAGAUAAGUUUACUUUUAUAAAAUAAUCAUUUUAUUUAUUUUUAAUAUUAUAUUAGUGAAUAUUAAAGUAAAAUAUAAAAAGAAUUAUUAUUAAAUUUUUCUUGAAAUUAUUUGAUAAUCUAAUCUAUUUUAUUUUUGAAUUUAUUAAUUACUUUACCACAAAUUAAUUUAUUUUGCUUUUAUUAAUGUUUGUUAAGGUGGUUUCGAUAUUACUGCAUAGGCAUUACCUUUGUUUUAUACUUUUUUUCCCCUAAAAUACGUGGAUUUAAUUUUAGAAAAUAAUCUUUUUUAUAUAUGUUUAAAAUUAAAUAUAAUCCUUCCCCGACCUUUAAAUAGGAGAAUAAACUCGUUUCAAUGCGCUUGAACUCACAUUUUUUAACACUGACAACAGUACCGAUGUCAAUUGAACUAAAACGGUUUAAACCUAUGACUUCUAAGAUGGAUACACUAUUACUUAACCAUUCAACCUAUGUCUUAUUUCUUAUUUAUUUUAGUCACUUAAUUAUAUAUAUUUAUUUCGGGCUCAACUUACAUAUUCUUUAUUAGCUUAUACAUUUACUCAAUUUUUAUUAACUUAUUUAAUUUUAUAGUUUUUAACACAUUUCACUUUAGUUUAUAUAUAAUAAUUAAUACUCAUAAUCAGGUCUUAUUAUUAAUAUUUUAAUUUAUUUUACCCAUUUUCCAAUUAGGUCCUAACUCAACUAAAACACACUAUUUUCAAAUUAAAUCUCGUAAUCAAGUUUCGUUUUAGAUUAAUUAAUAAAACAAAACUUGAUUAUAUUAUUUUAAUAUUUUAAUUAAUUAUUUAAAGCAAAGUUUAAGGGCUAAAUCAUAAUUUUAGUAAAAUAUUUUAGUAAAACCUUUUUGGUAAAAUCAAGAGUAAAAUUAUGGAAUUAUCCAAAUAAGACUUAAUCAUGCAAAUUUUCAAGUCAUUUCAUAGCAUUUAAGGGCUUCAAUUGCAUAGCAUAAAAAUUAGGACUCAAUUGCAAAGAUAAUAAAACAUGCCCAACUUACAUAUGACAUAUUGACACCUAUACAUACUAUUUCGUGUUUUCAUGCCAAUUUUCCUAUUCUAACAUGUCGUACAUCAUACAUAGAUCAUUCAAAUCAUGCUUAGUUAUAUUAAAACAUAUAUUAACACAUUUUAACAAUCACGCGUAUUCAGGGUUAAAUUCAAUCCAUCAAUCACAAACCCAAUUCUUCUAACCCAAUUUUUAGGAUGUGACAGAAAUUGUUAAAUUGUAUUUGUUUACCCCAUUACGAAAAAUUCUAAAUUUCUUUCUUUUUUUUCAAUACUAGAAUUUUAAAUUUCAAAAUAUCAAAAUAAAUUAUUGAAAAUUGUUUGAUUUGUUACUAUAAUAUUAAAAUUAAUUAAAAUAAUCUCUUUCUAAAAUUUUAAAUUUUAUUUUAUGUUUCCAAAUUAAAAUAAACUCAAAUAACUCAUCCUUAAUAAUUGUUGAUGAAACACAAAUUUCUUUUGAUUAUAUGAACUUAAAUCUUCUAUGCUAAGCUAAAAACAAAGAAAAAUCUUUAUAAUUAAUUAAUUUAAUUAAUUAUUUGAGUUAAUUUCGUUAAGGAUAAUUUAAAAACAAAAAAUAAAAAUUUAAACUUCAAGAGAUUAAUUUAAUUAAUUUCAAUAUUAUAGCAACAAAUCAGUUGACAUUACCAAUGGAUAAGCAAAUACAAUUGAAAUAUUAAAAAAAAAAAAUUUUGACAAUGGGAUAAGCAAAUACAAUUUGAAAAUUUUUGUGUAUUAUUUUAACUUUUACUGCUUUUUCACUUUGAUCCUUUAUCUUUUUUUUACCCCAAUCAUUGUUUUAAAAAAUAUUUUUUGGGUGACUAAAAUAAAAAUAUAAACAUGAUGUGACGUGCAUGGUUAACAGUCAUUAGAGAUUUAACGCUUAGGUGACUCAAAAUAAAAACAAUCUAAAAAUUGUAACAAAAUUACAAAAUUUUCAUUUUGAAGAAAGGGGCUUAAAAAUUAUUAAGCAAAGAUUAGGAAUCAAAAUCUAAUACUCCAUCCCUGAGUAGAAACAGUCGCCUCAAAGAUUUUAUCACUCUUAAAUAAUCCAUGUCCAUUAUUUAAAGUCAAGAUUAUAUGGUCUUUCAUUACUAAAACUUACACAAUAGUUUGUAAUAAAUAUAGAGUGGUACGAUUACAAUACAAAAACAAAUAUCAUCAAGCAAGUGACAAGGGAAGAUGAAGGACCUUGAUUACUUCUCAGCCAGCUCACUGCGCCGCGCGUGCAGCUCGCUGCCGUGGUGGUGGCCGCUCCACGCCCGCAGGUCGCUGCGGUGGUGGUGGCCGCUUCGUGUUUGUUAAGACGAUGGCCAGGACGGUGAAAAUAAUAACCAGCAACAUGAGGAACACGAGGAAGUCCAAAAUGCCCCAUUCAUUUACUUUCCCCAUCUUCGAUUAGAUCAGCGUCGGUCGGCUUCUGGUUGGUUCCUGUAUCAAAAGGAGGGCUCGGAGUUAGGGGGAAAUAUUGAAAUGCAUAUUGUAUUUAUAGAUGGUAAUGGGUCUAUAUUUCAAGUCAACUCCGAUAAUCAAAAUUUGUAGACUCUUUCAAAUUAAGGUUAGGUGAGCUGUGAAAUGUGGACUAACCCCCACCAUACGAUUAAGGUUUAAUGACAACUUCACUUUUAUAUUAUUU
rnacentral:lncRNA from 1 species